rnacentral:rRNA from 1 species
GAUGAACGCUGGCGGCGUGCCUAAUACAUGCAAGUCGAGCGAACGGACGAGAAGCUUGCUUCUCUGAUGUUAGCGGCGGACGGGUGAGUAACACGUGGAUAACCUACCUAUAAGACUGGGAUAACUUCGGGAAACCGGAGCUAAUACCGGAUGAUAUUUUGAACCGCAUGGUUCAAAAGUGAAAGACGGUCUUGCUGUCACUUAUAGAUGGAUCCGCGCUGCAUUAGCUAGUUGGUAAGGUAACGGCUUACCAAGGCAACGAUGCAUAGCCGACCUGAGAGGGUGAUCGGCCACACUGGAACUGGGACGCGGUCCAGACUCCUACGGGAGGGAGCAGUAGGGAAUCUUCCGCAAUGGGCGAAAGCCUGACGGAGCAACGCCGCGUGAGUGAUGGAGGUCUUCGGAUCGUAAAACUCUGUUAUUAGGGAAGAACAUAUGUGUAAGUAACUGUGCACAUCUUGACGGUACCUAAUCAGAAAGCCACGGCUAACUACGUG